rnacentral:rRNA from 1 species
AUUGAACGCUGUCGGCAGGCCUAACACAUGCAAGUCGAACGAGUGGGGACGGGUGAGUAACACGUGGGUAACCUCCCAUCAGAGGGGAUAACACUUGGAAACAGGUGCUAAACCGAUACUGAUGGAUGGACCCGCGGGGCAUUAGCUAGUUGGGGAGGUAACGGCUCACCAAGGCCACGAUGCAUAGCCGACCUGAGAGGAGGAUCGGCCACACUGGAACUGAGAAACGGCCCAGACUCCUACGGGAGGCAGCAGUAGGGAAGCUUCGGCAAUGGACGAAAGUCUGACCGAGCAACGCCGCGUGAGUGAAGAAGGUUUUCGGAUCGUAAAACUCUGUUGUUAGGGAAGCGGUAUCUAAACAGAAAGCCACGGCUAACUACGUGCCAGCAGCCGCGGUAAUUC